rnacentral:tRNA from 1 species
GCCCAGAUAGCUCAGUUGGUAGAGCAGCGGACUGAAAAUCCGCGUGUCGGUGGUUCGAAUCCGCCUCUGGGCACCAU